CACGUAGUUAGCCGUGGCUUUCUGAUUAGGUACCGUCAAGAUGUGCACAGUUACUUACACAUUUGUUCUUCCCUAAUAACAGAGUUUUACGAGCCGAAAACCCUUCAUCACUCACGCGGCGUUGCUCCGUCAGGCUUUCGCCCAUUGCGGAAGAUUCCCUACUGCUGCCUCCCGUAGGAGUCUGGACCGUGUCUCAGUUCCAGUGUGGCCGAUCACCCUCUCAGGUCGGCUACGUAUCGUCGCCUUGGUAAGCCGUUACCUUACCAACUAGCUAAUACGGCGCGGGUCCAUCUAUAAGUGAUAGCAAAACCAUCUUUCACUUUAGAACCAUGCGGUUCUAAAUGUUAUCCGGUAUUAGCUCCGGUUUCCCGAAGUUAUCCCAGUCUUAUAGGUAGGUUACCCACGUGUUACUCACCCGUCCGCCGCUAACUUCAAAGGAGCAAGCUCCUUAUCUGUUCGCUCGACUUGCAUGUAUUAGGCACGCCGCCAGCGUUCAUCCUGAGCCAGGAUCAAACUCU
rnacentral:rRNA from 1 species